GGUUGUAUAGUGUAGCGGUUAUCACACCAGAUUCUGACGCUUGCUCAGGCCUUCUGGUAACCCCGGUUCGAUUCCGGGUACGACCU